AGCACUUCAAUCAUCUGUACGUGGAUGGACUAUGGCUAUUUAUAACACUCCAUGGCUCCCUCCCCCAAUGUCCCCUUCCAAAUGUGUGACAAGGACAUCACAAAUCUCAUCCCGCAAAAUGCAAAGCUGCUGCUUGGCUGUCAGUCCGUCUGUCUUCAUGUCUCAUUCUCUAUUGUCUGUCUGCAUGUUGUGUGUGCUGUUUAACUCUUUAUCCUGUGUCUGUUUUAUGUACUGUCUGUCUCUGUGUACUUUGGGUAUGGUCUGUUUGUCUGUCUGUGUAUUGCAUGUGAGGUCUGUCUGUAUACUGUCUUUCACUGUGUUUGUGUGUACUGUCU